CAGGACGAACGCUGGCGGCGUGCCUAACACAUGCAAGUCGAACGAGAAUCGAUGGAUUGCGGCUUCGGCCAAAUGAAGUUGAGGAAAGUGGCGAACGGGUGAGUAACGCGUGAGAAACCUGCCUUUCAGUGGGGGACAACAGUUGGAAAUGACUGCUAAUACCGCAUAAGCGCACAGUACCGCAUGGUACGGUGUGAAAAACUCCGGUGGUAUGAGAUGGACCCGCGUCUGAUUAGCUAGUUGGUGGGGUAACGGCCUACCAAGGCGACGAUCAGUAGCCGACCUGAGAGGGUGACCGGCCACAUUGGGACUGAGACACGGCCCAAACUCCUACGGGAGGCAGCAGUGGGGAAUAUUGCACAAUGGGCGAAAGCCUGAUGCAGCGACGCCGCGUGAGUGAAGAAGUAUUUCGGUAUGUAAAGCUCUAUCAGCAGGGAAGAAAAUGACGGUACCUGACUAAGAAGCACCGGCUAAAUACGUG
rnacentral:rRNA from 1 species